rnacentral:rRNA from 1 species
GACGAACGCUGGCGGCGUGCCUAAUACAUGCAAGUCGAACGCACUCUCGUUUAGAUUGAAGGAGUUUGCUCCUGAUUGAUAAACAUUUGAGUGAGUGGCGGACGGGUGAGUAACACGUGGGUAACCUGCCCUAAAGUGGGGGAUAACAUUUGGAAACAGAUGCUAAUACCGCAUAAAACCUAACACCGCAUGGUGUAGGGUUGAAAGAUGGUUUCGGCUAUCACUUUAGGAUGGACCCGCGGUGCAUUAGUUAGUUGGUGAGGUAAAGGCUCACCAAGACCGUGAUGCAUAGCCGACCUGAGAGGGUAAUCGGCCACACUGGGACUGAGACACGGCCCAGACUCCUACGGGAGGCAGCAGUAGGGAAUCUUCCACAAUGGACGAAAGUCCGAUGGAGCAACGCCGCGUGAGUGAAGAAGGUUUCGGAUCGUAAAACUCUGUUGUUGGAGAAGAAUGUAUCUGAUAGUAACUGAUCAGGUAGUG